rnacentral:rRNA from 1 species
GAAUCAAAGAAGGUAAUAAUCCUGUAGUCGAAAAUGUUGUCUCUCUUGAGUGGAUCCUGAGUACGACGGAGCACGUGAAAUUCCGUCGGAAUCUGGGAGGACCAUCUCCUAAGGCUAAAUACUCUCUAGUGACCGAUAGUGAACCAGUACCGUGAGGGAAAGGUGAAAAGCACCCCGGAAGGGGAGUGAAAUAGAACCUGAAACCGUGUGCUUACAAGUAGUCAGAGCCCGUUAAUGGGUGAUGGCGUGCCUUUUGUAGAAUGAACCGGCGAGUUACGAUUUGAUGCAAGGUUAAGCAGUAAAUGUGGAGCCGUAGCGAAAGCGAGUCUGAAUAGGGCGUUUAGUAUUUGGUCGUAGACCCGAAACCAGGUGAUCUACCCUUGGUCAGGUUGAAGUUCAGGUAACACUGAAUGGAGGACCGAACCGACUUACGUUGAAAAGUGAGCGGAUGAACUGAGGGUAGCGGAGAAAUUCCAAUCGAACCUGGAGAUAGCUGGUUCUCUCCGAAAUAGCUUUAGGGCUAGCCUCAAGUGAUGAUUAUUGGAGGUAGAGCACUGUUUGGACGAGGGGCCCCUCUCGGGUUACCGAAUUCAGACAAACUCCGAAUGCCAAUUAAUUUAACUUGGGAGUCAGAACAUGGGUGAUAAGGUCCGUGUUCGAAAGGGAAACAGCCCAGACCACCAGCUAAGGUCCCAAAAUAUAUGUUAAGUGGAAAAGGAUGUGGCGUUGCCCAGACAACUAGGAUGUUGGCUUAGAAGCAGCCAUCAUUUAAAGAGUGCGUAAUAGCUCACUAGUCGAGUGACACUGCGCCGAAAAUGUACCGGGGCUAAACAUAUUACCGAAGCUGUGGAUUGUCCUUUGGACAAUGGUAGGAGAGCGUUCUAAGG